AACGAACGCUGGCGGCAUGCCUAACACAUGCAAGUCGAACGAGACCUUCGGGUCUAGUGGCGCACGGGUGCGUAACGCGUGGGAACCUGCCUUUAGGUUCGGAAUAACUCAGAGAAAUUUGAGCUAAUACCGGAUGAUGUCUUCGGACCAAAGAUUUAUCGCCUUUAGAUGGGCCCGCGUUGGAUUAGCUAGUUGGUGGGGUAAAGGCCUACCAAGGCGACGAUCCAUAGCUGGGCUGAGAGGAUGAUCAGCCACACUGGGACUGAGACACGGCCCAGACUCCUACGGGAGGCAGCAGUGGGGAAUAUUGGACAAUGGGCGAAAGCAUGAUCCAGCAAUGCCGCGUGAGUGAUGAAGGCCUUAGGGUUGUAAAGCUCUUUUACCCGAGAUGAUAAUGACAGUAUCGGGAGAAUAAGCUCCGGCUAACUCCGUG
rnacentral:rRNA from 1 species